AUACGAAGGGUGCAAGCGUUACUCGGAAUUACUGGGCGUAAAGCGUGCGUAGGUGGUUGUUUAAGUCUGUCGUGAAAGCCCUGGGCUCAACCUGGGAAUGGCGACGGAAACUGGGCGACUAGAGUGUGGCAGAGGGUAGUGGAAUUCCUGGUGUAGCAGUGAAAUGCGUAGAGAUCAGGAGGAACAUCCGUGGCGAAGGCGACUGCCUGGGCCAACACUGACACUGAGGCACGAAAGCGUGGGGAGCAAACAGGAUUAGAUACCCUGGUAGUCCACGCCCUAAACGAUGCGAACUGGAUGUUGGGUGCAAUUUGGCACGCAGUAUCGAAGCUAACGCGUUAAGUUCGCCGCCUGGGGAGUACGGUCGCAAGACUGAAACUCAAAUGAAUUGACGGGG
rnacentral:rRNA from 1 species